AGUGAACGCUGGCGGUAGGCCUAACACAUGCAAGUCGAACGGCAGCACAGUAAGAGCUUGCUCUUACGGGUGGCGAGUGGCGGACGGGUGAGGAAUGCAUCGGAAUCUACUUUUUCGUGGGGGAUAACGUAGGGAAACUUACGCUAAUACCGCAUACGACCUACGGGUGAAAGCAGGGGAUCUUCGGACCUUGCGCGAUUGAAUGAGCCGAUGUCGGAUUAGCUAGUUGGCGGGGUAAAGGCCCACCAAGGCGACGAUCCGUAGCUGGUCUGAGAGGAUGAUCAGCCGCACUGGAACUGAGACACGGUCCAGACUCCUACGGGAGGCAGCAGUGGGGAAUAUUGGACAAUGGGCGCAAGCCUGAUCCAGCCAUACCGCGUGGGUGAAGAAGGCCUUCGGGUUGUAAAGCCCUUUUGUUGGGAAAGAAAGGCAGCAGGUUAAUACCCCGCUGUUCUGACGGUACCCAAAGAAUAAGCACCGGCUAACUUCGUG
rnacentral:rRNA from 1 species